GAAAUAAGUAAUUCAAGACUAAGCUUCUAACUUAAGACUUAAGCGGUGAAACUCCGUUUUUAUUUCU
rnacentral:tRNA from 2 species